GACGAACGCUGGCGGCGUGCUUAACACAUGCAAGUCGAACGGAAAGGCCCUGCUUUUGUGGGGUGCUCGAGUGGCGAACGGGUGAGUAACACGUGAGUAACCUGCCCUUGACUUUGGGAUAACUUCAGGAAACUGGGGCUAAUACCGGAUAGGAGCUCCUGCUGCAUGGUGGGGGGUGGAAAGUUUCGGCGGUUGGGGAUCGACUCGCGGCUUAUCAGCUUGUUGGUGGGGUAGUGGCUUACCAAGGCUUUGACGGGUAGCCGGCCUGAGAGGGUGACCGGCGACAUUGGGACUGAGAUACGGCCCAGACUCCUACGGGAGGCAGCAGUGGGGAAUAUUGCGCAGUGGGCGGAAGCCUGAUGCAGCAACGCCGCGUGCGGGAUGACGGCCUUCGGGUUGUAAACCGCUUUCGCCUGUGACGAAGCGUGAGUGACGGUAAUGGGUAAAGAAGCACCGGCUAACUACGUG
rnacentral:rRNA from 1 species